UCCUGCUGUGGGGCUCUCAGAGCAGUUUGCACCCAGAGCCGUGGUUUAGAAGUUCCAGCCACCCUCCUCCAAGGCCUCGGCACCCCCACCUCGCUGGCGGCAGGCACUGCAUUUCCCUCACCUGGCCUCUAGUAGGGGGCCAUCAUGAGGUGGAGCUGCUCCUGCAGCUCUGAAUUAGUCCUAGCCAUGCAGAGCCCACCCUGAACGCCAGGACGCUUGGCAACAAGGCCCUCGGGGGGCACCAAAGCCGUGCCCCCCCCCCCCCCCCCAGGCCCGCACACAGCCAGCUGCCCGCAGGACCCACACGGCGCUGCUUGGCUCCCCUCCGGGGCGGGAAGGCCGGCCUUCCACCGAGGCUUUCUUGGGGCAAACGCGGUUCCCCAGGGACUGAACCUCCCCUGCAGCACUGGCAGUUCCCUGCCUCCAUUCCACGGAGCAGUUUGCCUGCUGCUGCCGGGAGCUGGGCGCUGAGCCCAGGCCAGCUCCACACAAGCUAACAGCUCAGCCAAGGGGAACGCAAAGCAUUAAAAUACACGCUCUGAGGUGGUUCCAGUCUCUUCCCGGGCCCUAGGGGAUUUAUUUCAGCUAUUACUUCAGGGCCUGUUUUAGAACUUAGUAUCGGCUUGCAAAGAAAACCAAAAAAAAACCCAGAGGAUUUCCCCCGCCCUAGUGGCGCUCAGGGAAGGGUCCAGCCCUCCGAGACGGGGUCAGCCGCCCAGGAGCGGGGCUCCCUGCCUGGACCCCGACCCCAGCCUUUGGGGGCAGCAACGAGGGGCUGGCCGGACGCGCACUUGAGCAGCUCGCCGGCAGCACUGCCCCUUCCCCGGCGUGCCCUGCGCUGUCAGAGGCGCAGGCUGCCUGCCAGCCCCUAAUCAGGUGAAGAGCAGACCUUUCAUUUUCCGAGGCAGGAAGCACUUAGCCGCCAGCGGGGCCUCCUGCCUCUGAUCUCGGCGAGCGCCCUGGAUUUAACGAGCGUCCGGCCGCACGCGCCCCCAGCGCAGCCCCUGCGCAGGCAGCAGCAGGCCCGGCCCGCGUCUCCCCGCUCCAGCCCGUAGCGAUGAGCCCGCUGCCGAGGGGGGGCAGACCCCGCACCCACCUCCCAGGCACAAAUCACUCGCAGCGCUCAGCACCUUGCGGGACCGACUCCAGCUCCCCGGGCGGUGCCGCGUCCCUCUCGCCCCCUGCCCCAGCCAGAGCCAAGGAACUGAGGCCCAGCCCGGGACGGAGCCGCACGCAGCUUCCAGCUUCCUGCGGCCAUCGAUCGCCCCAGCGCCUCCCCAGGGAGCUGCAGCCCUCUUACGUUCAAUUAAGUGGACGUUACUCCUUCCAACUCCAGUGAUUAAUACAGGUUUAAUUGCUGCUGCUGCUGGCUGCUGGGGCAGGGAAGGCAUUUCUCCGCACCGCUGGGUAUGGGCCGUGCUGCUGUGAGGAGCCCGGGUUUCAAUGGGCUGCAUCGUUUCACAGCCCUAAGUGCUGGCAGGCGCUGGCAGAGCAGCCAACCACCACCCAAAACCUCACUGCUGCUCCCUGCUCCGUCCCACACCCUGCGAAUUCUGGAACCUUCUGCGCCAGAAAGUACCGUCCUCCUCAGGACAGUUCUGACCCCUCGCUGUCUGUUACUGCCAGACGGACUGGGCAGAGGUGGGUGGGUUUGGGUGGGUCCAUACACAAGAGCUUGUGGCCUUCCAGCAAGGCCAAACCAAGAGUUAAGUGCUGUCGUUGCCAUCUUCAACCAGUCACCAGAAUCAUCGCCAGAGCUUUAAAAACCCGUCUUUAAGUGCAAAGUGCCAGAGUCUGCUCAACGUUCAGAGGAGAACUGAAGUAAAGGGCACUUACCCCGCACCGCAGGUGAGCCUGGUGCCGGAGCAGCUGCAGCGCACGCUUCCCAUUCAAGCAGGAUCUUGGAGCACAUCGAACAGGUGGAAGUCACAGUGAAUAAGAAGCUGCCGCCGGCUGCUCCGAAACUCCUGUUGCUGCCGACACCUAGAUCAGAGCCAGCGGCUAACUUGGGCUGCAUCAGAGCUAACCUUGUUCAGCACGAACCGCGACUGCAGGCUAACUUCCCUCUGUGACCUGCUCUACACCUCGUCACUGAUCUCAUGCACAAAGAGCUGGAGGAAGGAGCAAGGUAGAGAAGAAAAAAAUCAGGAUUAUAAAUCUAAAAUUUUAUUGAGACAAAAAACUGACAGAGCUUGGUAUGAAGUUAAAAUCCAAACACGUACUUUACAUUUAAACAACGUUUCCACAGAAACCUAAACACAUGCUUUUAAAAAAAGGUUUGUACAAUGCAAGUCUAGAUACAUACCACCCUACAAGGAGGUGCCAGGAGUCUGGUGGGGCUCAUGACUCCAGACAUUAAAUAGUUCAGGAUUUGUAAUAAAUUGGAUUAAAAAAAAAAAAACCCUCAGAAGAUUCAGGGUAACUCAUCUGGCACCAGCACCAACGUCUGGCUUCCUACAAUCACUUGGUAUGGGAGAAUAUGGAAUUGAUUUUCCUUGUGCUGCUGUUGAUUUCCUCUCUCUCCCAUACGAUAAAACUGAAGGGAUCCCCACGCUGCUGGCUGGACAGUCAAAUUACGGUGAGAAAAGGAACAAGUAGUCAGAAGUCUCUCUCCCCCCGAUUUUGAGAAAUAGCACCUUGUAAUGGAAAGAAGGGUAGAAAGGCUUUUAAGAGGUUAAAAAUCCAUUCCUACCCCGCACCCCACCCUCCCACAUACAAUGCAUGUGUCAGUAACUGGCAGUUCUGCUUCAGGACAAUACGAAUCACAAGUUUGCAUUUUCACAAGUCUCCCCUUCUCCCCCCUCCCCCCCCUAAAAACUGCUUUCAGGGCUUUGAGGACCUUGGCUCCAGAGAUUUGGACAUUCACAGUUUCAGUCUCAUGUCAGUGUCCCUGUCUCCCUAGUUCUGUCAUCAAUACUGGGCUCUUUUUUUUCUUUUUUUUUUUUCUGUUUUUCUUUUUUUGAACUCAGGUUCUAAAAAAGAUCUGGAAAUGAUCUGGAACAUUGUCACCAGACCUCAUCUCCCUCCCUCCCCAAUUAAACAAGAGACCGAUUACCCCACAUCCCUCCCCCCCAGCCCCCCAAACCGAUACACCAGUAAAUAGCAAAAGGAAAAAAAAAAA